rnacentral:rRNA from 1 species
GCCCUUAGAGUUUGAUCCUGGCUCAGGAUGAACGCUAGCGACAGGCUUAACACAUGCAAGUCGAGGGGCAGCACAGGUAGUAAUACCGGGUGGCGACCGGCGCACGGGUGAGUAACGCGUAUGCAACUUGCCUAUCAGAGGGGGAUAACCCGGCGAAAGUCGGACUAAUACCGCAUGAAGCAGGGGCCCCGCAUGGGGAUAUUUGCUAAAGAUUCAUCGCUGAUAGAUAGGCAUGCGUUCCAUUAGGCAGUUGGCGGGGUAACGGCCCACCAAACCGACGAUGGAUAGGGGUUCUGAGAGGAAGGUCCCCCACAUUGGUACUGAGACACGGACCAAACUCCUACGGGAGGCAGCAGUGAGGAAUAUUGGUCAAUGGCCGAGAGGCUGAACCAGCCAAGUCGCGUGAGGGAUGAAGGUUCUAUGGAUCGUAAACCUCUUUUAUAAGGGAAUAAAGUGUGGGACGUGUCCUAUUUUGUAUGUACCUUAGAAUAAGGAUCGGCAA